UUUGAUCCUGGCUCAGGACGAACGCUGGCGGCGUGCCUAAUACAUGCAAGUCGAGCGGACUUCUAAAUAGCUUGCUAUGAAGAAGUUAGCGGCGGACGGGUGAGUAACACGUGGGCAACCUGCCUUACAGACUGGGAUAACUCCGGGAAACCGGAGCUAAUACCGGAUGACCAAUGGAGUCGCAUGACUCUAUUGUAAAAGUUGGGAGCAAUCCUAACACUGUGAGAUGGGCCCGCGGCGCAUUAGCUAGUUGGUGGGGUAAUGGCCUACCAAGGCGACGAUGCGUAGCCGACCUGAGAGGGUGAUCGGCCACACUGGAACUGAGACACGGUCCAGACUCCUACGGGAGGCAGCAGUAGGGAAUCAUCCGCAAUGGGCGAAAGCCUGACGGUGCAACGCCGCGUGAACGAUGACGGUCUUCGGAUUGUAAAGUUCUGUUGUUAGGGAAGAACAAGUACCGUUCGAAUAGGGCGGUACCUUGACGGUACCUGACCAGAAAGCCCCGGCUAACUACGUGCCAGCAGCCGCGGUAAUACGUAGGGGGCAAGCGUUGUCCGGAAUUAUUGGGCGUAAAGCGCGCGCAGGCGGUCCUUUAAGUCUGAUGUGAAAGCCCACGGCUCAACCGUGGAGGGUCAUUGGAAACUGGGGGGACUUGAGUGUAGGAGAGGAAAGUGGAAUUCCACGUGUAGCGGUGAAAUGCGUAGAUAUGUGGAGGAACACCAGUGGCGAAGGCGACUUUCUGGGCCUACAACUGACGCUGAGGCGCGAAAGCGUGGGGAGCAAACAGGAUUAGAUACCCUGGUAGUCCACGCCGUAACGAUGAGUGCUAGGUGUUAGGGUUUCGAUACCCUUAGUGCCGCAGUUAACACAUUAGCCACCUCCGCCUGGGGGGAGUACG
rnacentral:rRNA from 1 species